AUUGAACGCUGGCGGCAGGCCUAACACAUGCAAGUCGAGCGGGGUUUUCGGACCUAGCGGCGGACGGGUGAGUAAUGCGUAGGAAGCUGCCCGAUAGAGGGGGAUCCCAGUUGGAAACGACUGUUAAUACCGCAUAAUGUCUACGGACCAAAGUGUGGGACCUUCGGGCCACAUGCUAUCGGAUGCGCCUACGUGGGAUUAGCUAGUUGGUGAGGUAAUGGCUCACCAAGGCGACGAUCUCUAGCUGGUUUGAGAGGAUUAUUAGCCACACUGGGACUGAAACACGGGCCAGACUCCUGCGGGAGGAAGCAGUGGGAAAUAUUGGGCAAUGGGCGAAAGCCUGAUCCAGCCAUGCCGCGUGUGUGAAGAAGGACUUCGGGUUGUAAAGCACGUUAAGCGAGGAGAAAUGGCUGAGGGUUAAUAACCUUCAGCAGUGCCGUUACUCGCAGAAUAAGCACCGGCUAACUCUGUGCCAGCAGCCGCCGUAACAC
rnacentral:rRNA from 1 species